rnacentral:tRNA from 1 species
GCAGGCGUGGCGGAAUUGGCAGACGCGCUGGAUUUAGGUUCCAGUGCCGCGAGGCGUAUGAGUUCAAAUCUCUUCGCCUGCACCA